GGAGGGUGUUGGCGAGUUCUGCUUGAGGAGUUCUGGGAAGCACCUUCCAGGCAGAGGGCACUACAGGGACACCAGCUUGGGGCAAGAGAGACCAGGUGAGCAGGACUGACAUCUCCAAGUCUGGAAGGAUGCUCCUGUGGUUUUUUUUGUUUGUUUGUUUUUGAGACGGAGUCUCGCUCUUGUUGCCCAGGCUGGCGUGCAAAGGCAUGAUAUGGGCUCACUGCAAGCUCCGCCUCUUGGGUUCAAGCAAUUCUCCUGCCUCAGCCUCCUGAGUAGCUGGGAUUACAGGCACACGCCACCAUGCCUGGCUAAUUUUUGUACUUUUAGUAGAGACAGGGUUUCAUCGUGUUGGCCAGGCUGGUCUUGAACUCCUGACCUCAGGUGAUCCACCCGCCUCAGCCUCCCAAAGUGCUGGGAUUACAGGCGUGAGCCACCGUGCCCAGCCCAGGAGGCUCCUGUGUAUACACCUGUGUGAGUGCACCUGUGCGUGUGUGUGUGUGUGCCUGUAUGCAUGUACUUAUGUGUGUGCACUUGAGUACGUGUGUGUGCCUGUGUCUGUACGAGUGUGUGUGUGUGCCUGUGUCCCAGUGUGUGUGUGCGCUCAUGUGUCUGUGUACCAGUGUGUGCGCUUGUGUACGUGUGUGCCCAUGUGUCUGUGUGUACCAGUGUGUGUGUGUGUGCAUGUGUGCCCAUGUGUGUCUAUGCAUGCAUCUGCGUGCAUGUGCCCAGGAAUGCUCACGCCUGCUCAGAUGUCCUCAGCUGGGCCACCCGUCCCCACCCUGCCCCGCUGCCCUAACUCCCAGAGUACCCGCAUUGGCCGAGCACUGCUCUGUGCCACGUGAGCCCUGGGCCCUGGGGUGACUGUGGGGAAAAACCCUGACAGGAGUGCCUCUGCCCUGCCCUGCCCAGUAGGAACGGUGCUCAACCAGGCCCCUGGCGGCCCUCCGAGGCAGGUAAGUGCGUCCCUAUCUGCAGGUGAGGGACAGAGGUGCUGAGGGGCAAAAUAACUUGCCAAGGUCUCACGGUCAUGCCCCCCACCACCAUGCCUGGGGGCAGGCCUUGGCAAGGGGCAUGCUGCCAGUCAGUUGGCAGCAGAGCCAAGAAGGGACAGAGCUCAGGGUGUGGCCCUCAGUGCUUAGGACCAGCUGCUCCUCCCCUUGACGCUGGCUUCCCACAGGAGGUGCCGCUGUGUGCUGCUCACACCCAGAAGAGGGGGUCAGGGCAUGCAGAGUCCAGUCGGGAAGCCGAGGCCCGAGGAAAGCCCAGAAGGGCUUCGCAUCUGCACGGCAACUCUGUGAUUUUGGAUUAUGAUGAUCAAGUCCAUUG
rnacentral:lncRNA from 1 species